UACGUAGGGGGCAAGCGUUGUCCGGAAUCAUUGGGCGUAAAGCGCGCGUAGGCGGCCCGGUAAGUCCGUUGUGAAAGUCAAAGGCUCAACCUUUGAAUGCCGACGGAUACUGCCGGGCUAGAGUACGGAAGAGGCGAGUGGAAUUCCUGGUGUAGCGGUGGAAUGCGCAGAUAUCAGGAGGAACACCUAUAGCGAAGGCAGCUCGCUGGGACGUUACUGACGCUGAGGCGCGAAAGCGUGGGGAGCAAACAGG
rnacentral:rRNA from 1 species